AUUGAACGCUGGCGGCAGGCCUAAAACAUGCAAGUCGAGCGAGCGGCGGAGGGGUGAGAAAGGUCUGGGAAACUGCCUGAGGGAGGGGGCUACCUACUGGAAACGGUAGCAAAUACCGCAUACAGUCAGAUGUGCCCAGAUGGGAUUAGCUAGUAGGUGGGGUAAGGGCUCACCUAGGCGACGAUCCCUAGCUGGUGUGAGAGGAUGACCAGCCACACUGGAACUGAGACACGGUCCAGACUCCUACGGGAGGCAGCAGUGGGGAAUAUUGCACAAUGGGCGCAAGCCUGAUGCAGCCAUGCCGCGUGUGUGAAGAAGGCCUUCGGGUUGUAAAGCACUUUCAGCGAGGAGGCGUUACUCGCAGAAGAAGCACCGGCUAACUCCGUGCCAGCAGCCGCGGUAAUAC
rnacentral:rRNA from 1 species